GAUUAACACCGCAUAACAUCACUUACAGCAUUUUAGAGUGAUCAAAUAUUUAUAGGAUUAAGAUGGGCAUGCGGAACAUUAGCUAGUUGGUAAGGUAAUGGCUUACCAAGGCUACGAUGUUUAGGGGAUCUGAGAGGAUGACCCCCCACACUGGUACUGAGACACGGACCAGACUCCUACGGGAGGCAGCAGUAAGGAAUAUUGGUCAAUGGGCGCAAGCCUGAACCAGCCAUGCCGCGUGCAGGAAGACGGCCCUACGGGUUGUAAACUGCUUUUGUACCGGAAUAAACCUUUUCACGUGUGRGAAGCUGAAUGUACGGUAAGAAUAAGGAUCGGCUAACUCCGUGCCAGCAGCCGCGGUAAUACGGAGGAUCCAAGCGUUAUCCGGAUUUAUUGGGUUUAAAGGGUGCGUAGGCGGUUCAUUAAGUCAGGGGUGAAAGACGGUAGCUUAACUAUCGCAGUGCCUUUGAUACUGAAGAACUUGAAWACACUUGAGGUAGGCGGAAUGUGACAAGUAGCGGUGAAAUGCAUAGAUAUGGCACAGAACACCAAUUGCGAAGGCAGCUUACUAAAGUGUUAUUGACGCUGAGGCACGAAAGCGUGGGGAUCAGACAAGAUUAGAUACCCUGGUAGUCCA
rnacentral:rRNA from 1 species